rnacentral:lncRNA from 1 species
GCAGAUGAACUUAAGUUGAUCUUCCAUCUGAGUCCUACUUGAUCAUCACGUGCUCUAUUGGUUCUGAAAUGAAGUUUUCGCCAUAUUCUUGCGUAAAGGGGAUGCAAAGUACUAUAACACCAAGAAUAUGUGUUAUUUACAAAGAAUUUCUAGAUCUCUGAAGUUGCUAGAAAUUGCUAAUCAUCCUAUAUAUCCCUAAAAGACCGAGGAAUCAGAUUCAAUCAACAAGCCAAUGUUUCGAAUCACAAUAGCAGAAGACUAACCAGAGGUGGUAAACAAUCUGUUUUUUGCCCCGAUUGCAGCUAGGAAUGCAAGCGGGAUUCGGCAUAUCCCGCUUAAAUAACUUGUUGCUUCCAAGGUCUCGUAUAAAACUUGGGUUACAAACUUGUAGAUUGACUUAGAUGCAAGAUAAGAAAGAUAUUCCGGUUGCAUCCUAGUUGCAGCUGCCUUCAAAGACAGCAAGUUGCAUUACAAAGAACUUUUAACAUUGAAGUUCUGCAAACUUCAGUUGAUCUUGCGAAUAUUUUCACUCUUACCAUCUUGAUCCUGAGGUCCGGUGCAUGGAGAUUGCACCAAACCAAAAAAAAAAAAUCAAUCUACGGCCAGACAACAGGGAAACUACAUUCAGGUGCCCACAUCCUGCACCACAGAAAACAGAAAUGAAGUAGUAUGCAGGAACCACAAAGUACAAACACAAAGAAUAACAUGCAGGACUACUCGAACCUUCACCAUCAGUAGGCAAAACAAACACUUCCUUUUUAAGAUAGCAAGAAAAGGAAAGAGUUGUUCAUAUACGUUAACACCAAGAAAAACGCAAGGAUCGAAUGCUUUCCGUCAAAUCUUACAAAACUGGAAAAAAUGCAUAUGAAUGUAAUUUAGGUAGCAAAUGAUCACAAUAAACAAAUCAUAACUUCCAGAAAUUAUCUGCAUUCCAUGUUCCAAAUCAUUGAGCUAAAUUGAAGCAGCUGUCGCCACAAACAUAUUCGGUAAUUUAAAGAACACAAAAAUAAGUUUAUUUUUACAUGGGAAGUGUUUUAUGGCCGUCAACAAUCACGAUACCUGGCAAAGAGGAAGAUUAACAAAUGAGGUAAUCUACUCA